GAUGAACGCUGGCGGCGUGCCUAAUACAUGCAAGUCGAGCGAACGGACGAGAAGCUUGCUUCUCUGAUGUUAGCGGCGGACGGGUGAGUAACACGUGGAUAACCUACCUAUAAGACUGGGAUAACUUCGGGAAACCGGAGCUAAUACCGGAUAAUAUUUUGAACCGCAUGGUUCAAUAGUGAAAGAUGGUUUUGCUGUCACUUAUAGAUGGAUCCGCGCUGUAUUAGCUAGUUGGUAAGGUAACGGCUUACCAAGGCAACGAUGCAUAGCCGACCUGAGAGGGUGAUCGGCCACACUGGAACUGAGACACGGUCCAGACUCCUACGGGAGGCAGCAGUAGGGAAUCUUCCGCAAUGGGCGAAAGCCUGACGGAGCAACGCCGCGUGAGUGAUGAAGGUCUUCGGAUCGUAAAACUCUGUUAUUAGGGAAGAACAUAUGUGUAAGUAACUGUGCACAUCUUGACGGUACCUAAUCAGAAAGCCACGGCUAACUACGUG
rnacentral:rRNA from 1 species